AAAUUGUCAAGCUCUCCUUCCUUAGGGGGUAAAGCCAACACUCCCCCAACACGGGCAGGUCAAGGCGAAGUGGUCACAUGAGCCGGGCCAGGGCCAAUGGGGGCUCUGGGAGGGCUGGACAGAGGGAGUUCAGGCCUUCUGGACUCCUCUUUCAGCUCAUAUAAGGUAAAACGAAGAAAGGGGCUUUCUAGCUGGGGAGAUGCGGGGAGAAGUUCGGGGGGAAGGGGGCUCAGGUUAGCAGCUGUUUAAAUAUGCUCUGGUGGUAGCUUUGGGGUCCCAGUGGCAGUUUAUAGUUUGAAGGGAAGGGAUGGCCUCCUUUCCCAUCCCAUUCCACAGCCCCCCUCGCCCCAGCCCCUCACCCUCCUGCUGAAUGCCAGAUGCAGCCCAUCCCUGCUGGGUGGGACCAGGAUGGAGCUAAGGCCGUGACCUUGACCAAAGAGCUCUACCAUUCAAUGUCCAAGGUCAGUUGCUUGGGAUGAAAGUGAGGAAAUAUUGGGAUGAAAGUGAAGAAAACCCUUGGCAUUGCUGUGUGGCAUCUUCAGGUAUGUCUGUAUGUGUGUGUAGAUACGUACACAACCUCUUAGUUUCCCUGAUUUCCUUUAAGAUUCAAUCCGAAUCCCAUUUUCUCCAAGACACCUCUUCCUCCUUUACCUCUUGGAUUACUUUCUAUUCAUGGUGUGGAUAUUUUGUGCAUUUUGCACCUAGUAAUUUGCAUGUUUUUUUACUUGUCUAGAGGCUAAGUUUCUUGAAAGCAGAGAUUGUAUUUUUGCCCUUCUUCAUAUGUGCAGCAAUUAGCACAGUGUUUUGCAUGUAGUAAGCAUUUGAUAAAUGUUUGCUAAUUGAUUGGGUUACUAUUUUUCUGAUCCUUGGACAAAGGUAUGUAUUAGCAUUCAUGUCCAUGUGACCACACGAAUGUAUGUUAGCAUAUACAUAUAUCCCAACACACACGUCAAAGGUGGACCCCUGCACACGUGUGACCAACCUGCAGGAGCCUCUUCCUUCAUGCAAUUGCAAAUGAGUCAAAGUUCUUCUAAACUGAAAGUAUAAGGAAUUCAGGGGAAAGAGCCCAUGAUACCACUCCCUAAAAGCUGUGUCUAGACAGAGUAGGUCCCUACACAUGGUUGGAACUAGGAAGCGGUUGAUUCAGCUCACAACUUCCUCUCAUCAGAUGGAUUGUCUGUAGAUGAUUAAGUUCAUUUUUUAAAAAAACUUUGGCUUAUGAAAGAGUUUUGUUAACUGCAACAGUUUGAAGUUGGGAAAUGCAUACUUGGCCCUUCUCCAACCUACAAUCAUAGAAUAUCAGAUCUAGAAGGGAACUUAGAAAAUAUUGGUUCAAGAGUCAGAAAGGACGGUACAGAUUCUCUGUUCCAGCACAGAGGGAAAAUAAAAGCCUUGGAAAAGUCCUUACGCAACGUAAAUGGGGGGCGGCUAGGUGCCUCAGUAGAUUAAGAGACUGGCCUGCAGAUGGGAAGUUCUGGGUUGAAAUGCGACUUCAGAUACUUCCUGGCUGUGUGAUCUUGGGCAAGUCAUUUAACUCCCUUUGCCCAGUCCUUUCCACUCUUCUACCUUGGAUCCAAUACAUCUGAGAUUAAUCCUAGGAUGGAAGGUAAGGGUUGAAAAAAGAGAGAGAGAGAGAGAUAAAUGUCUUUGUCAUGGUUUAUUUACAGGCAAUAAGUAGUAGAGCUAUGUAGAAUUCAAACUCAGGUUUUUCUAUUUCAAUUCCAAUGUUCUUUCCCCUUAGGAUGUACUAACUUUCUUCCUCAGAAGAAACUGAACUCCAAGAUGGAAAAAUGAUAUAAAGUUAUACUGAGAGAUAGGCAUAGUUCUCCUGCAGGAUUUACAGUUGGGUGGCAUCUCAGACAUCUUUGGGUUCAACUGCCUCACAAAUUAGUAAACUGAGACCUAAAGAGAAGAUAUGAUUUGCCUGAGGUCUCACAGGGCACCAGUGGUAGAGGCAGAGUUCCCAAACCAGGGCUCUUAAUUGCUGAUCCUUAUAACAGAAAAUUUUAAAAAGGUAAAAAAAAAAACAACCCAGUUUGGCAAAACUCACUAACAUAUGGAAAAAAUUUGACAUGUAUAGUGUUCCAUAUCCAUAAUCUCCAUCUCUUCAAAGAAGAGAGGGAGGUACAUUCUGUUACCUCUUCUUUAGAACAGACUUGAUCAUUACAAUUUUACAUAAGUUUCUAUUGUUUUGUUGUUGUCAUUCUUGUCAUUUACACUGUGAUAGUCAUGUGCAUACUGUAUUCCUUUUUCUGCUUACUUGGCAUCAGUUCAUAGAAGUCUUUCCAAAUAAGUUUUCUCAGGUUUCUAUGUAUUAAAAAUAUUUAUUAUUUGUUAUAUCAGUCAAUGAGUAUUAAUUAAGUCUUUAUUAUAUGUUAAAUACUAUUGUAAGUGAUCAGGAUAAAAAGAAAUUAUAUAAUUAUGCUCCUGCACUACACCUUAUUUAGCCAUUCUCCAGUCAAUUGGCAUUUUUUAAUUUCCGGGUCUUUGCUCCCAAUAUGCCUCUGCUAUACAGAGAUCCUUUUCUUUUUGUCAUUUAGAUCCUUGGUCUAUAUACUUAGCAAAUGAAUCUCUGGAUCAAAGAAGGGUGGCCAUUCUAAUAAUUUUCUUUGCAUAAUUCUAAAUCCAAGCCAAUACAUUUUAACAAGUGAUGGUCCAAAUUGAUUCCCAUCUCUGAGCUCACCUGUAGAAAGCCUGCAUUGGACCGGAGACUUAUUGGUCAGAAGGAUAGAAGGGCUAUUUCAAAGUGUUUCUGAAUCGAAUCUUUCAUACCAGCUUCUUCAAGAUUUGGUUAUGGAGAGAAACUUAUGUGUUAAGAUGUGUAGGCAUGAUUCUUUUGGUGGUUUCUGAUAAGGCAAAGAGAAGAGCAUCUCAGAGCCCUAAGUAGAAACCUGUUUAUAUUGUGAUAGAUUGUAAAUGUAACAAUAAUAACAAAUAUAACUAUAUGUUCUCCCUUCCCCUUAAUAGUAAACUGCUUCCAUUUACUUUUUACCUCUUUCUCUCUUCCUUCCUUCCUUCCUUCCUUCCUUCCUUCCUUCCUUCCUUCCUUCCUUCCUUCCUUCCUUCCUUUUUCCCAUGUGUAUUGAUUCUAAGGCAGAAGAGCAGUAAGGACUAGGCAAUGGGGAUUAAGUGACUUGCCCAGGGUCACACAGCUAGGAAGUGUCUGAGGUCAGAUUUGAACCCACAAUCUCCCAUCUCUAGUCCUGGCUCUCAAUCCACUGAGCCACCCAGUUGCCCCCUAUUUUUACCUAUUUCAACUAAGAAUAUAUUUUUAUUGAUUCUGCCUGUGGAGUCCUUAGUUAAUGGAAUAAGGCCUUGAAUACCAAUGUUUCUGCUUUGCAGGAGGAACAACACAGCCCAUGACAGCCUGACAAUUGGGAUAUUUGAAGCCCUGAUCCUGAUGCUACUUGGGUAACCAAGUUAUCUCAGUCAUUCUUUUAGGUGAUGGUAAAAAUUAGGGGUUACAGUUGAAAGAUGCUGGAUCAUUUUUUUUUGGUUAUUGAUGGUAUUUUCCCAGCCCACUGUUAUAGUGGAAAAAGCAUUUUCCAGUCAGAGGACCUUGCCCCUGGCAUACACUUUCUGUGUGACCUUGGGUAAAUUAUUGAAUUUUCCUGGGCCUUCAUUUCCUUAUCUGUGAAAUGAAGAGAUGAGACUAGUGAGAGACUAGAGAGCUGUUUCUAGCUCUAGGUCUAUAGAUCUGAUGACAUUUUGUCCCUCCCCAAGAAUACCCAAAAAGUAACAAAACUCCUGGAACAUAAUUGCUUUUGGAAAUCCUUACAUCUAGACACAUCAGGAACAGGGCACAUUUUGCACACACAGUGAGGUUGACUUCAGCCAGAGCCUGCUUCUUUACUCCAUUGACUUUCCAUUUUCAGUCAGCUGCUACUCUGAGUCCUUCCAUGGGAUGCUCUGAGUCCUUCCUCUACUCCCUUUUCUUCCUCUUCUAUGCCUCCAUUGAAACCUCCCCUUUGCCUUCCUUGUUACUCUUCUCUUCCUGGCCAUGAGCAAGCAGGCUUACCAAGGCCUGAGUCUGUUUAUAGGUCUGGGGUUCUCUGGGGAACUCAAAUGAUCUGCCCUCUCUUAGGAAUGCAAUUCAUCAACAGAAUUGAGGGAGCCCCUUGGGAGCCUCGCUCACACGCUCUGGAAAGAGUGCACUGUGGAAUUAUGGGAGGGGCCCCCAGUUGAGGUCACAACAAGACUUUUGGUUUAGAGUCAAGAUGACCUCCCUCCCCCCCUUUUUCCCACAUCCUUCCCCCUCUUCUCCCUCCUACUCCAGUAAGUUCUUCCCAUCAGUGUGUGGGUGUAUAGGCCAGAGGCCUGGGAAAGAAGUGUUCAAGAGCUAGAGAGAGGUGGAGGAAGAGAUUAGCACAUGCAAGAACAGACAUUGAGAAGUGGGAGGGAAGGAAGGGGUAGAUGGCAUAGAGAGGGAGGUAGGCUAGAGAAUUCUGGAUUAUGAGAGCUGGAAGAGACCUCUACCCUGUACCCACGUCAGAGUUCUUCAUCUCCUUCCCGUCUUUCAUUGAAUCUCUGAUGUGCUACCAUCUCCAGUGUUACGGAAAUCACUAUUUCCCAAGGUAGAGACACAGCUCUAAUUAUGUAAUAGGAAGUUUUUCCUUAUAUUGAGUCAUACGUUUUUGCAAUAUCCACCUUCUUUCUUAAACCUCUAAUCCACCCAACACAGUCUUUCCUUUUCUGGGCUAAACAUCCCAAAUUCCUUCGAAUGAUCCAUGAAUUGCACAAUUUGUAGCACCCUCCUCUCCCCAACCCGAUCACUCUCUUCUUGGGUCCAUUCUAGUUUGUCAUUCUUAUUCCUUAAGAGAGUGGUGUGGAACAUGGCAGAAUUCUCCAGACGUGAGCUGAUCAGAGCAAAAGACAGAAGGACAAUUUAUGCUCAUUCUCUGGAUACCCUUCCAAGGUCCUGAGGGUGACAAAGGGAGCAGAGACAUUCAUUCCCGAGGUCAUGGGACCCAUAUCACUCCACAGCUGUCUAUCAGGGUGACUCCAGAGAGAUCUAGUCUAACAUCUGAGGCAGUGCCUAAAAUUCACAGAAGUUUGGUCUCUUGGUCGCUUGUCCUGGGCACUGGAGGCUGAUAAAGGGGGAGAGACUCUUCUAUCUAAGGGUGAUGCCCAGCACUGGUCCAUCUGGGUAUUAGUCUGGCAAUAGGUUCUUUUAUUUUUGUUGAGUUAUUAUAGACUUUAUAGCUAGAAGGGACCUUAGCAAUCACCUAGUCCAAAUGCUUCAUUUUAUAGAAGCUAUUGAGUCCUAAAGAGAAGCGACUCACUUAGGGUCACAGGGGGAAAUAGAUAGCUGGACCGAGAUUUGCACCAAGGUCCUUUGUAUACAAAUCUACUGGUCUUUGCAUGACUUUACAUUGCCUUUCAUAAAUGACUGAAUGAAAUCUUCUGAUGUUUUUCUGCUAGAACAUCAGACUAUUGGUCAGAUCUGACCUUUUGCAUCGGCUCUGGCCUCUCAAAUCUAUUUGUCUUGGCAUCAGUUUUUGCUUCUGUAUAAUGGAGAACAUGAUGCCUACCUUGUUCACUUUUCAGGACUGAAAGGAUAUAACAGAUGGGAAAGUGCUUUGUAAAUGCCUAUAGAAAUGUGAGCUAUUGGUGUUAUUUCAUGCUGGAGUUACUCAGGCCCCUUUCUCAGCCCCUCUUGACUUAGAGGGUUUUUCUUACUCUCCAAGUGGGUUACUUUAUAGUCUGUAUCCAAUGACAAAGGCAUGUUAUCUCAGGAUAACUCAGAUUUAACUCAUGACAAGGUUACCAGAAAAGACUCACACGUUCUUGGCAUCUCAGAGGCCACAAGCUUCCUCCCAAGGAUUGGUAGAACUCUUUCUACAACGACUUUGACAGUAAAUACAUGUAAAGAAAAAAUCUAUAUGAUUUAUUUUUAAACCCUUACCUUCUAUCUUAGUAUUGAUUCUAAGGUAGAAGAGUGAUAAGGGCUGGGCAAUUGGCAUUAAAUGACUUGUCCAAGGUCACACAGUUAAGAAGUGUCUGAGACCAGAUUUGAACCUAGGACCUCCCAACUCCAGGUUUGGUGCUCUAUCUUCUGUGUUACCUAGCUGCCCCUAAGGAUAUAUAAUAGAGAUUCACAGUUGAUCUAACGUCUCCUAUUUGAGAGCUAAGCUCAGAACAGGAGGCCAGAAGUCUCAGUUCUCACCCUUUCUCUACCACAUAAUAUGUUGGUAUUAUUGGCCAAAUUCCUUGACCCUCUUUAAGUCUCAGUUAUUUCUCCUCUGUAAAACAAAGAAAUUAGAAUUGAUUGUUUCUAAGGUUUACAUUAGCCCUCAAGUUUUAAGAUUCUAUCUCAUCAAGGCCUGAUAUUUGGCAAAAGGCACUUGAAUCUAGUAGACAAUGGGGUUUUUGUAUGACUGUCCCUCUGGGUCUCAGCCUCUUCACUUAUAAAUAAUAAUAAUUAUUAUUGACAUUUCUACAACAUAUUUUAAUUUUUUAUGAAACAAUGUUCAUCUUAUCUAAUCCUCACUACAAAUCUGUGAAGAUUAUAAGUGUCAUCCCCAUUUUAUAGGUGAAGAGACUGAGUGAGGCUCAUAGAAGGUUAGAGAUUUGUUCAGAAUCAUAUCACUAAUAAAUGUCAAAGUCAGGAUUUGAACCCAGGUCUCUCUCGACUCUGAGUCUAGAGAUCUUUAAAUUACACCUCAAUGAGCAGAUAGAAUUAGAUAAAUUCAGAAUUUCUUUCCAGUACUAACAUUCUAUAUUCUAAGGUUCUUUCUGGCUCUUAUAUUCUGUGUUCCGAUGUGUCUUUCAAUGCCCCAUGUUCAAAUUCUCUCAUUCUUUGCUUCUUUAUGUGUCAGUCCUUCUUGCCCAAUGAAGAGGAAUGGUUUCAAUAAUCCUGGAGAGUGCAUUUCCUAAACCAUCUGUUGGCUAUGCCCCAGCCUGGAGCACCCCUGUUUCAGUUGGCUUCCUUAAAUGGCAAUGUCUUGUUCUGCUCACUUCAGUGUUCUCUAAAACAUCCUUUCAGUAAGUGGGCCCUCUCUGGAUCCUCUCCCACCCACAUUCCUAGAGCAAUAUAGGCAUUGUAAGCCAGUGUCAGUUCCCCUGGGGCUAAUAAUGGCUGGCACCCCAUAGGAGAGAAACGGAUUUCUUUCUAUGGAGCAAUUAUAAAGCUCCAGAAUUCUUUUUUCUUGUUCCCUGGGGCUGCCAUCCCAGUAAAAGGGGCAGCAGUGGUAGAAUGAGACAAUCUCUUCAUACAUUUCCACUUCUUGGGGAAUUUAUGUCAGGUUCACUAAUCUUAAACGGUUAGGGGUAGAAGGCUCCUUAGAGUAUGGAUGGGAAAGUAACUGGAUAUGGAAACACAAAGUCUGAGUUCCAGUCCUAGGUCCAAAACUAGCUGUGUGACUUCAGGCUAAUUACAUCACUCCUCUGGACCUCAAGUGUAAAAUGAAGGAAUUUAUUUAUCUUAAUGAUGUUUACGGUCCUUUCCAGUCUUGACAUUCUGUGCUUCCAAGAAAUCAGACACCCUCCUGCACCUACAAUCCCAUGCUGCCUUGUCUCCAGAGAUAAGGAGGUCAGAACCCAGGGGCGCUGGGUAGUUUGGCCAAAGACUGACAGCUGGUCAGUGGUAUAGCUGGGAGUACUAUGUGGCUCCCUCUUUGGCAUCCUAUGUGCCUUUCCUCUCCCUAGUUCUGCCUCUGGGUCCUGGAGCUUGGCUAUACCUUGUAGUCCCCAAACCAAGAGUUGCUUCUGAGAGGAUGGAUUGUGUUUGGGAUCUUUUUUGUCCUCAAACUAGACCCUGCUGCCUCAGGACAAUGCUGUACAGUUCUCCAAAGCUAACCCCAACGUGUGGGUGGUCUAUGAAUGAGGCCAGGAGAGAAAGAGAACACUGCAACUCAUAAUCAUAAAAUUACAGAGCUAGAAGAAACCUCAGAAACCAGCUAGUACACCCUCCUUAUUUUGCAGAUGAGGAAACUGAGGCUCAAAGACAUGAAAGGUCUUGCCCGAAGUCAUGUAGGUUAUAAGCACAUAGGCAAGAUUUGAACUUAGAUCUUUAGAGCCAUUGCUUUUUCCACUCUAUAAGUGGGUUACAAAGUGCAACCCUUACUGUUCCUGACCCCACCCCCAAAUUCGUUGUCUCCUUGAAAUUUCACCAUCAAAUCCUAAAUAUCACAGUAUGGGGAGCCAGAAUGGAUUUUAGAGGCUCUCUAGUCCAAUUCUCCUUUUACAAGUGUGGUAACAGGUUAGGAGAGGAAAGGUAAGGACUAAGAUCCAACAGGGAAAGGAUAGGAGAGCUAGUCUGGAAUUCUAGCCUUGGGACUACAAAUCCAGUUCUUUUUCCAUUAUACAAAGUCUUCCAUUCAUAUCAAUAUACCAAUACUCUUGCUGGGGGGUCCCAGAGGCAACAAUAUAAAAAACAUUAGGCUGAGAAUCAGAAAAGCCCUAAUCCUACCAUGGGGAGCCAUUUCCAUUCUGUCCACCUCAGAUUUCCCCUAUGUUCAUUGAAGGGGUAGGAGCAGACCAUCUCCAAGACCUUGGUAACUCAAACGUUCUAUGCCCUGCGCUCUGAUAUCUAAGGUUUCCCUCUCCCAUUCUUUUUUCAAGGGGGCAGAGCCAAGAUGGAAGUUUAAUAGCAAUGAAGGCUGAGCUGCUCUGAGAAUCUUCCCAUGUUCUUUUAAUAAGACUCCUUUGUAGGAUUUAAAACUAGAGUUCAUAUUGUCCAAAAGUUUUAUUUUACAGAGGAGGAAACUAAGGCCCAAAGAGGAAGUCAUUUGCUAAGUUUACAACAUCAUCAUCAUAGCCAACUUGUGCUUUCUGCUUUAGAAUUACUAUCUUAUUUGAUCUUCACAACAAUCCUGUGAGACGAGGUGCCAACAUUUUCUCUAUUUUACAGUUUACGAAAGUUAGAGGUUAAAUUAAGACUUGCCCCAGGUCACACCACUAGUAAGUACCUGAGGUCAGAUUUAUAGCCAGGCCUUCCUAAUUCAGGGUUCACUGCACUCACCACUGUACUACCUCACUGCUUUUUAUAGAAUAAAUAAGGAUAUACUUACUUAAUAAAUGAAUGAAAAAAAAUGAUUAAGUAUUUACUAGGUGCCAAGCACUGUGCUAACCUCUUGAGAUACAAAUAGAAAAAACCAAAACAAUCCCUCCUCUAUAGGAGUUCAGUUUCUCUUCUCUGGUCUUUCAUUUCCUCAUCUCUGCAAAGUCAUGGCAUAUUUCAGAAUUUCCAAUCUCAAUGGACCUAAAACACCAUCUGGUCCAACCUGUCAUUUUAGAGACAAAGGCAACUGUGGCUCAUUGUCAUUUCCCACCAGCCAAGACACUAGGAUUUAACUGAGCAGGCUCUCCACAGAUGUUUGUCCCACUAAAUGACACCCCUGAAAUCCCCGUCUCCCACCUCCUUCCCACCCUAGGUCCCUUGGCUCAUCUCCAACAUACAGGCUGAGGCAUUUAGCCUUCCCUUAGAGAAAUCUGCCAUUCUCAUUACCAUAAAAGGCCAAGUGCUCCUUUGCUGCUAGCUGUAGGAUGGUAAAAGGCUGAGCUAUUUUUAGGGAGUUUGAGGGCUGCUCCUCAGCUCAGGCCUGGGUGCCUCAAAGUUCCCUCCCUUGAUCUCCUGUCUCAUUCCUCUUGUCUCUUCUUUUCCUCCCUCUCUUUCUUUCCUCUUUAUAUAUGUCACCACUCAUCCAUUCUCCCUUCCUUCUUCUUUCCCCCUCCUCAUUUUUCUUUUUUAUUUUAUCUCUCAACCAAUCUUUCUUUUCCCAAUACUCUCUGCCUUACUGCCUUCACUUUUAUCUCUCCAUUCUUCUUUUCUCUCAGUCUUUCCCUCCCUCUCCUACACUCUUCUCUCUUUGCUAUCUUUUAUCUUCUCCUUACAAACUGUCUGUCACAUUCUUUCUAUCAUUUCCCUCUCCCUCUUUUUUGUUUUCCUCUAGUCUCCUGUGUUUAUCUAUCUUCUCAACGCUUUCCUUUUUUCAUCCUCUCUCUUCUUCCAUUGCCUCACUCUCCUUUUUCUCUUCUUCUUUCAUUGUCUUUCUCCUAUUCUCUAUCUCUUCUGCUCUUUCAUUUGGCUUAUUCUUUAUCCAUGCUUCCUCUCUCUUUGUCUUCAUUUUUCUUAUUCUCCUACCCAUUUUCUUUCUCCUUUCUUCUUUCUGUUCUCCUUUCUCUCUUCUUCCUUCUUCUCUUUCUCUUCCAAAUAAACUUUCUUUCUCAUUCUCUUUUUAUCCCAUGUCUCCUUUGAAAAUAAACUUCCUCCUAUUGAUUCCUCUGAAUCUGAAACUGUGCAGGCUCUUUUAAAAAAGUCUUAUUUACAACAUGAUUUCCAAACAUCCUGCAUCUGGUCCCAGGAAGGGCCAAAAGCUAUUUGGAGGGGGAAAAGUUGAGGUGCUACUUACAAAGCCAAAGAAAUUUAAAGGCACCUUCCUUCCUCCAUUCCCUUACAUUCUGUACUCUAAUCAACUCCUUUCCCCCUUCCUGUAUGUCCUGAUUCUAUAGCUUCAGUUUCCCAGAUUUUGACCCAUUUCUGCUAAAUUAGGAAAAGGAGGAGGGAGAGAGCAAAGAAAUAAUGAGGCAUAGCAGUAGAAGGAACACUGAAUUUAGAGUUAGUCUAUACUUCCUCUAAAUUCAGUGUUCCUUCUACUGCUUCUACAGGGACCAGAAAAACAAAAUGACAGAUUGUUCAUUCAGUCAGUGAUCAAACAUUACCAAAUAUGGACUGGUUGAAGGAACAUCUGUGACUAGUAGAAAGAACACAGGAUUAAGACUCCAUGCUACCUGGAUUCAAGUCCCAGGUCUGCCAUUAAUUAGCAGUGGGCCCUGUGCAAUUCACUUUACUCCCCUGGUCUUUAAUAUCCUUAUUUGCAAAAUGAGGGGGUUGAACUGAAUGCUCUGUAAGGACCCUUCUGCCUAACAAUCUAUGACUAUAAACAUAGAUUGUUUAGGCUAGAGAAAAGAGGAUGCAUGAGUAGACAGCUAUGAUGUCUGACUAUCUUAAACGUUGCAUUAUGGAAAAGAAAUUAGGGCUUUUCUUCUACCCAGGCUAGAGAACUAGGAACAAUUUUCAGGGAGACAAAUAAGCAAAAGACUCAAAGAUCGAAGAAGAAGCAGCUGAGUGUUUUGAAAAGAGAAUUGGAGUGGGAAUCACAGACAUGGGUUCAGAUCCUAGCUUUUCUACUAUAAGAAACAAACUUUUUACAAGUCAGUUCUCCCUUCUCUGGGAUCUCAAAUUCCUCAUUUUAAAAAUGGAAAUAAUAAUAAUUCUGGCAUUCUCUACUCUGGAGCAUUCUAAGAACCAAGUAAAGUAGCAUAGUGGGUAGAAUGCACACCCUAGAGUCAGGAAGACAUCUUCCUGAGUUCAGAUCUAGCCUUGAAAACUUACUAGCUGUAUAACCCUGGGAAAGUCACUUAACCAUGUUGGCCUCAGUUUCCUUAUCUGUCAACUGAACUAGAGAAGCAAAUGACAAAUCACUCCAGUAUUUUUGCCAGGAAAAUUUCAAAUAGGGUCACAAAGAAUCAGAAAUGACUGAAAAAAAUACUACAAAAAUGUGAACUUUUUCCUAAUAAAGAUGGUAGAUGCCAUUUUCAUGGCACUCUUAAUUCUCAUCCCACCUUCUUUCCUUUUAUAGUAAAAAUGUGGGAAAGAGCAAGGUUGGGAGAAAGGAGGGAGUAUUUGAGUAAAUAUGGUAAGUAUGAAUCCAUCCAGCUACUUUUAACAAUGAGGGGGUGACACAACUGAGAAAAGGCAUUUUGAGUGUAAACCAAGGACAUCUGGACCCUGGCAGGGUUACAACAAUUAUGUUUUUGGAUUCCUCUCUCUCUUCAGAAAGAGAGAUGUUGAGAGUCUUUCCAGGGAAAGGAAGCUCAUUUUUCUAUGAUCUUGAUUUCCUCCAUGACUUUCCUUGCUACUCUCUUUUCUAUUUGUUUAUUAAAAUGUCAAGGAAAAAGAGGUGGCCUGUUCAGGGGCAUUUUUGUCAAAUUUAGGAUUAGAGUGUUUCAGAGGUAAGAGGCCAUGGCCCGGUUCUGAGGACUCUUGCUAUCUAAUAAAGAAUAGAAUUUAAUCAUUGUAGAGUUGCCAAUUUAGGAAUGGAAUAGGUCUGAGAGACCAUCUAAUCUCCCCUUCUUAUUUGACAGAUGAGGAAACUUGAAUUAAGAGUUCAAUCACUUACUUGAUUCAUAAGGUGAAUAGUAUGAAAGAGGCCUGACCGGAGAGUCAGGAGCCCAUGGUCAUAGUAAAUCCUUUGCUACUGACUUACUCACUGUGAGUCUUACUGAGUCCAUUUUCUGCCCUCUUUGGACCUCAGUCUCCCCCAGUGUAAAAUGAGGAGGAUAGACUAGAUGGUCCCUAAAGUCUCUUAAACUUUUUAUAGUCUCUGUUCUUUGUUUGAGGUCCUCCCUCUCUCCAUGUCUGAUAUUCUAUGUUCUUUCACCUGUACCUCUCAUCUUAGAGCUCUGGCUUGAAAUUAGGACAGGGCUAAUCAGUAUUAAUCUUUCAGCCACAGAAAUCUUGCCUCUGGCUUCAGGCUGUGUUCUGUGGGUUUCUGGCCUUGGGGCUGGGACCCGCUCAGGACUUGUCCCCCUGGGAGGAAGUUGGGAGCGUGUGAGGACUGUGAUCUUGAGGCUCUGGGCAGGGGUAUGAGAUACAGAAGGGAGGCAGGAGCUAUGGGAAUGAGCAGCUGAGAAGCAAUACGAACCUCAGUAAGCAUACCAUUGACCCAUCUUCCCAUCUCUCUCUCUCUCCUCUGAGCACCUCCCACCUCUUGUUCUUCUAGGAUUUUUGCCAAGCUUUCUUUCCCACCGAUUCACUUUUGCUAUGAAAUAAAGCUACUUAUUUCCCAUAUUCCUUUACAUGCUAUAUAUAGGCCACAUAUGAAUUUAUGUAUAUAGUCAUAUAGUUCUAUGGCAAGAGAUAAAAGAUGUGUGAGGCCACACUUUUAUGAGGGUCUUCAAGCAGACAUGUGUAAGGGCAUUACUAAAUUUUAAAUCUGUAAUGGAUUUCAGAGAUUAUCCAGUCUAAACUAUUUCUAAGCAGACAUCUUUUCAAACAACAUCCCCUAUUCAGCUUUUGUUUAGAGAUCUCCAGUGAUAGGCAACUUCCUUUCCUCCAUUUUACUUUGGGGAAGCCCUGAUUGUUAGAAAGUAUUUCCUAUAGAAGUUAAAAUCUCAAUCUUCCUUCCUUUUACCCAUUGCUCCUAGUUCUGACUUCUGAGGUCAAUAAAGCUGUUUCUUCUUCCCCAUAACAACUGUUUAAAUAUUUGAAGUCACCUAUCAUGUCUCCCUAAAAUUGUUUCUUUCCUAGGUCAAACAUUCUCAUUUCUUCCAACAGAUACUUAUACUCCCUUGUCAUGGUCUCCCUCUUAUCAGUAUACUUUUAAGGACAAAUAGGAGGGAAAAUAUUUGAGAACCUAUAGGGUGGGAGUUCUUAACCUAUUUUGAAUUAUGAUGACCUUUUUGGCAGUUAACUAAAGAUUAUAGGCCCUUUUUCAGAAUUUUUUUUAAAUACCAAAAAUAAAAUAAAUAGGAUAACAAAGGAAAAUAACUAUAUACUCAAUCUAUCUAUCCAUCUAUCCAUCCAUCCAUCCAUCUAUCUAUCUAUCUAUCUAUCUACCUAUCUAUCUAUCUAUCUAUCUAUCUGUCUGUCUAUCUGUCUCUCUCUCUCUCUUCAUCCAUCUAUUUGUCUGUCUAAUCUAAACAUAUACUAAAUUCAUGGACUCUAGUUUAAGAACCCUUGUUGUAGGGGGACUAUGAAUGAGGGUAUAUAGAUAAGUAAUCCAAAGAUCUGACCUCUUGUAUAAUCUAAGAUCUUUACUAGUAGGCAUGGUGCCACUUUUUUUCUUUUUAUCUCCAGCUUCUAGUAUAUAUAGUACCAUGCAUAAAGUAGAAAUUUAAUACUUUUUUUGUUGAAUGUAUGAAUGAAUUCAUAGUCUCUCUUUGGGUGUCUCUCUAUGACUCCCAGCACUCAGACUAUCGCUUGGCCUAUGAGACUGAGAAAGUCACUUAACCCUGUUUGUCUCAGUUUCCUCAUCUGUUAAAUGAGCUAGAAAAGGAAAUGGCAAACCACUCCAGUGUCUUUGCUAAGAAAACCUCAAACUGGGUCAGACACAACUGAAACAACUGAACAAUAAAUAGCCUAUGAUUAGAUUGUUCAAAAAACAGUCGAUGCUGCCUAUUGUAUUGUCUAAGAUGAGUUCCCAUGCAACUCUAAGAGUCUUUGCCUCUGUGAUUCUGUGACAGCAUAUCAUUCCAGAAGAGGCCUCAGUGAGGGGACAGUUCUACCCCAAAAAUGUAUAGGCCUCUUGCUCAUCCCUUUAGACAGCAGGAACCUGUAAGAACCAGAAAAGGGAAGGAUCAAGUCACUAGCCCAUUUGAAGAUGAAAUCAACAUCUCUGACUUCAUCAGGACCAUAUUUGUAACCAAUGAGCUACCAACACAGCACUCCUAACCAUUUGCAGACACUGCUCAGAGCAAUAGAAACUGCAUCCCAUCUGACUAACAGAUGUGACCAAAGUUACAGCCCUUUGGGCUUUUUGGAAACAAGUAAUAUUUAGGACAUGUGUAAUGACUAAGAUAGGAUAUUUUUUUCAUAUGUAAUUUUAUUUCCCAUGGACAGAGUUGGGCUGCUCCCUUUUAUCCAUUUCCUCUUAGCCACAGGAGUGUGGUAUAGUGGACAGAGGGCUGGAGAGAGAAGAAAAAAUGUAAGUUCUAGACAUAGCUCUGUAGUAACUCACUUUUUGGAGCUCAAUUUCCCCAUAUGUAAAAUAAGAAAAUUGUAUAAGAUAACUCCUAAGGUCUUUCCCAAUCUGGAUAUUAGGAAUUUAAAAGUCCCAUCCAGUUCUAAUAUUGUGUGUGUUAAGGUCCUUCCCACCUCUUGAUAGCCUAUGUUCUAAGUUCCUUCUCAGUUUUGACAUUCUCCGUUCUGAUCCAGCUUUGACAUUUUGUAGUCAAUGAUUCUGGCUCUAGGCCAUAGAUGUUUCUUUUUCUUUCAGCUUGGUGGAUCUGUUUUACAUUUAGGGCACCUCAUUUAGACAGGACUUUCUUCUGGUCACACUAAUAGUUUAUUUCCAGCCUGCCAGAGACAAUAUUAUAGGCCCCAGAAGGAAGGGCAGGGGUGGAACUCUUUGAUAUUUCCUGGGAAACUCAGUUUUCAUUCCCUAAUUCAGUUUUCUGGAUUACUAGCAUAGGCCUGGGAGUGCUGUUGGGAAGGAGCCCAAGCCUUCAUAGGACCCCAGUGAGAUAUCAGGGUCUGGCCUUGAGUUGAAGUUGAUAGAACACUUGGGGAGGCAACAGGGUGGAAAAGAAAGGCAGGGAUGGGCUUUUGGAGAUGUUAAAAGAAAAAAUACCUUAAGCUAAAUAGCUUCUCACUGGAGUCUGAGAAAAAUGAAUGACAAUAACCUAGUUCCUGUCUAUCCUCAGGCCUCUUUUCCUCUACAAACUUGAAGGUAGACCAGGGCCAAGACCAAGUCCAAAGGACCAUAGGAUCAGAUAGAACAAGACCUCAGAACUCACUAUGGUCGAUGCUUCAUUUUUAUAGAGAAGAAAGUUAGAUCUUAAGGAGGUAAAGUACUUGUAAGGCCACUUAUCUACUAAGUCGCAGAGUCUAGGCUAAAAACCAGGCCUUCUGACUACAAUCCAAUGCUAUUUCUAGGACUUCAGGAUGGCAGUUAAGUUUACCAUUACUUGAUGAUCUCAUAGGGUAUAAUGUCUUUGUUUCUUUCAGGAGGAAUCACCGGGAACAAAAGAAACUGACAACUGAUUGGGGCACAUUGAGAAGACCUUGAACUUCCAGAGAACCUACUUGUCUGAUGAUCCUUGAGAAGGUGAGGAAUGAAUACUCCCAUAUGUGUCCAGGGAUACUACCCAAUGGCAAAACAAUCACCUCCUAGUCAAAGUCCCCUAGAUAUGUUCUCUAUAAGCUUCCUUUCCUGCUUCUUCUCUUUCUUUCUCCUCUUCUCCUUUCAUAGUAUAAGAUCAGAGAAUCAUAGAUUUAGAGCUGGAAGACACCACUAAUAUUAUCUGGUCCAACAUUCUCUUAUAUAUGAGGAAACUGAAGAACUGAGGCCCACAGAUGUUAAAUGUUUUACAUAAUGUCCUACAUACCUUAAGUGAUAGUAGAGAUUUGAACCCAAGUCCAAAUGCAGUAUAUGUUUACCCUGCCUUCUUCUUUCAUGAUAGAUGUGUCUUGAAUAUCUAGAAAAGGUCAAUCAAUCUUUAUUGAUUGGUUAACUGAUUGACUCAAGGAGCAGUUACCAGACACCUACUUCUGCAUUAGGCAGGAUGUUAGACUAAACUAUCAAGUCUUUUUGCUCCGAAAUUCUUAGAUUCUACUAUGGUCCUAACCCUGGGUCAAAUUUCAAGGCUCAGGUUGAAGGGGCAUUCAUGCCAUCUCUGCACACAUUUUAUUUCCCUAUGGGAAUAUAUAAUCAGGCAAGGUUAGAAGUAACGGUUUAGUAGGUACUCACAGUUAGAGAUCCUGGAAGAUUUCAUCCAUAAGGUAACCCAUUAGAAUUUGGGGUAUCUAGUCUAGAAGUAUAAAGAUCAGUGAUGAUAAGCAGAUGAGACCAUUGUCAAAUUCCUAGAAGUUGCCAAUGCAGAGACUGUUUUAGAGAGGUAAUCAUAGGAUAUUACAGUUAGAAGACAUCUUAAAGAUCAUCAAUCUAACUCUCAUUUUACAGAGAAAGAGUCUUCAAGAGGUGAUUUACUAAGAUCUCACAGAUAACUAGGUGACAUAGUAGGAUUUGGAUCUUCUGACUCAUAUUCUAGGGCUCUUUCUGUUACAUGAGUCUGCUGCCAUCUAAUAUGUAGAGCGAAAGGAAAGGGAGGGAGAGGAAGGGGAGAAGGUAAAGAGCAAGAAUGGGUACUAGAUCUAGUGAGUUAGAUGGGGAUUACAGAUUGGGAAGAUUCUCCAAAAUCUAUUUAGUCCAACCCAUGCCUACAAAAUGAUUCUUUCUAUAGGAUACACAAUGACUGACCAUCCUGACUUAGCUUAAAGACUUCCAGUCCCCCUGCCCCAUGACGUGGCCCAUUCUGGAAUGGGCCACCAUUUCCUUUCUAUUUAUUAAGAAGAUUUUUUUGACAUGAAACCCUCUUUGAUCUCUUUUCUUUUCUUCUCUUUAGUUUUCUUUUCUUUAGUUUAGUUUAGUUUUCUUUUCAAAACACUUACCUUCUGUCUUGAAAUCAAUACUAUGCAUUGGUUCCAAAGCAGAAGAAUGAUAAAGGCUAGGCAAUGGGGGUUAAGUGACUUGCCCAGGGUAACUAAACUAGGAAGUGCCUGAGGUCGUAUUUGAACCUGAGACCUCCCAUCUCUAGGCCUGACUCUCAAUCCACUGAGCUACCCAUCCUGCCCCCUUUUGUUGCUUUUCAAUCUCCCCUUGCUCCUAAUUCUUCUCUUAGAGGCUAAGCAGAAUGAGUCUAAUCCCUCUAUCUGGGGACAACCCUUUACAUACUCAAUUGAAGAUACCAUUUCACCUUCAAUUCAAUCUCUUCUCUAGGCUAUAUGUCCCCAGUUCAUGUCACUAAUCUUUAGAUAGCAUGGGUUUGAGAAUUCUUAAAAGGUUUUCAAAAGAGGACUAGAAAGUCUAAGUCUUCUGCUGUAGGCCCUGAACACAUAGAAUAAUGGGAGCCACCAUUCUUUAAAAAGUGCUUUAAGUUUUACAAAGAACUUUCCUCAAAACAACAACCCUAGAGGGAAGAUCCAAACCUCCAGCAUUCACAUAUGAAGCACGUGCAUGCCACAUAGGCAAUUCCCUGUCUUACAUGAAAUACACACAUACUUUUACAUCAUUCAUAUAUACUCAAUGCAUGCACAGAGCUCACAUAUGUCACAUUAACAUACAGAACAUACACACAAUAUGCAUGCAUAUAAAUAGAUACAUGAAUUCAUAUUAGAUAUAUCUCACACACACACACAUAUAUCCAUGUACAUUUUGUAAAGAAGCCAAUACAACUUUGUUUAAAGUUACUGGAUUGUGGGGAAUCAUCCAGGCACUGGAUAACUGUGUAGGCUUCCCUAUAAAGUAAAGAGACAGGCUGUCUCCCCCAGAUGCUCAGCAGGCCAGACAGAGCCAUCUGCUUUCUCUCCCACUGUCUCAUGCUGGCUCCACCCCGAGGAGGUAGGUUGCAGAGUCCCAGGAACGGGACACUGGGACGACAGAUGUUCUAUCUCUUGAGGUUUCUCAGCUGCCUGGAGAGCACACAGGAUGUUAAGACUGGUCCAUGGAACAUUUCUGAGUUUGUUUUCUUCCUGUUACAUUCUCAGCAUGCCUCCCUCCGCCUUUAACGGCUUCUCUACCUCUGUCAAGUCUAUCCCCACUUUUCUCUCCACCCCUUCCCUCCCUCAUCCUUUUCUAAGUUCACUUGGACUGAAGCAGUUAUACCUCACUGACAGAAACAGCGGCUUCACCUGGAGUCUUUGUCCCAUGUCACAAGGUACUUCCAUUGGAUUCUGAUUCUGUCACGUAAGUGGACUCGGGUGGGUGGUCUAGCUUAGGUGUGAGGAAUGGUGUCAGGCAAGCUGGCCCUUUGGGGUUGGAAGGAAGAAAUGCAUGCAGUUCAGACUAAGCCUAGGAGCCCUGGGCCUCUCUUUUUGUUGUUUAGACCUUUUUGGUCCUCUCCAAUUCUUCAGGACUCCAUUUUUGGGGUUUUCUUGGCAAAGAUACUGGAGUGGUUUGCUAUUUCCUCCUCCAGCUCAUUUUAUAGAUGAGAAAACUGAGGCAAACAGAUUGAAGUGACUUGUCCAGGAUCACACAGUAAGUGUCUGAGGGCCAAAUUUGAACUCGGGUCUAACCGACUACAGGCCAGUGCUCUACCUACUGCCCUACCUAGCCAACCUCGGGAGGCUCUUCUUUAGGAGUUAAUAUUAUUCUCCAACUUAACCUCUCAUACUGGUUUCUGAAAUCCCAAAGACCUUAGGGAUCAUUAAGUUAAGAAGCAAUGUGGUGUUUUUUUUUUUGGAAAUAGAAGUGGAUUUGGAAUCAGGAGACAUGGAUUGGAAUCCUAGCUCUGACAGAAAUUAGCUUUAUUACUAUGGACAUGUUAUUUAUCCUCCUCUUUGAGUCUCUACUUCUUUGUCUGCAAAUUAAAGAUAAUAGAAUUAUAGAUGAUUUAGAGAUGAAAUGUAUUAUGGCAUCAUAGACCCACAGUUGGAAAGGACCUUAGCAGUCAUUUAGUCCAAACUAUUAAACUUAUGGAUAAGAAGUCUAGGACUAGGGAAAUUCAAUAACUUGCUCGAGGUCAUAUAGGAAGUAACUAAAAUAGGAUUUGAAUUCAGGUCCUGGGACUACAGUUCAAUAUUCAUUUCAUUCCAUUACCCUGGAUCUUAGGAGUCAUCAAGUCUAAUCCUUUCCUUUUACAGAUGAAGAAAAUGAGGCCCAGCGUUAGUGACUCACCUAAGCUCAGUAGAAGGGCCCUGAUGAAAUUUCAAUAGCUUGACUUCUGUUGAAUUCUUUUUCCACUACUUCACAGGAUUGUUAAGGUUUGCAAACUGUAGAUAUAUGCUAUAUAAAUAUAAAUGUCAUUUAUCAUUAUGAUUUUCUCAUUCAGUCUCUGUUUCACAGAGAAGGGAAGCAUUUUCACUAAGGUGGCACGGUGAAUGGCAAAAAUUAGGCUGAGAACCACAGAAACAGUUGUAGAAGUGGGAGGGAGAGCCAUCUUUGCCAAUUCACUUUCAAAUCCAUGUUCUUUUUAUUAUCCUGUGCUGCCUCCCAAAGAUGGCAAGUGUGCCUUACACAGGGUUGGUUUCUCCAACUGACCAGGGAAAAGAAAGAAUCCUAAAGGCACUCCUCGUUCUCUUUAAAAUCUGAGGAUUUAAUUCUUUAUUCACAAAGCACUUACUCUUGCAGGCUUUUCCUCUACUCCCAUUAUCCACAAUCCUUAGCUCAAUAAAACUUUUAUUCCAACGUUCCAUGCCCUGAAUUGGACCCUAGUCUGGGGAGUUGCUAGAACCAGAUAAUAUUCGAACUGAGGAAGGUCUUAAGAAUCAUUUAUGCCAAACAUCUUAACUUAUAAUAUCUCCAGAAAGGGGAAGAGAUUCAGCCAAGAUCACACAUCACCCAAAGCAGAGCCCAGGUCCUAGACUUCUAUGCUGUGUCCCUGGUGUCCUACAAUAAUAUGAGGCAAUAUAAUGAAGCAAUAUAGUGCAAAGAUCACUGGAUUUGGAGUUGGAGAACCUGAGUUCCCAUCCCAAUCUGGCUACUUAUUUCCUUUGUGAUCAUAGGACAAGUCAUUUGUUGCUUUUUGGGGCCCCAGUUUCCCCAUCUCUAAUGAGUCAGACAAGAAGACCUUUCAGAUCCCUUACAUGGUAAAACACAAUUUGUCUAGAGAAAAAAAGUCUUCUUCAGCUACUCCAAAGAGCAGCUCAGUAGUCACUUUUAAGAGGAGUUGAUUAAUUGGACAUUCCUUCUCACUUUUCCUCCUUGGGGUGUGAUGGAGAAGAGCAGAAAUUUGGGAGGUGAAUAAAUAAGAGUCCUGGAUAUAUUUUUAAUUAGUUUUAUGACUGAGCAAUUCACUUUUCUUGUGACCCCAGUUCCCCCAAAACGAGGAUCAGUGUUUGAAGUAGCUGGGAGUCAACGUAAGAAGAGAUCAGCAUUAUUCUUAAAGUGCAGUUAAAAUGGGAGUUAUUAUUUUUGAGCCAUAAAGUGAGUGGUCAUUAAAUUCUCCUAAGUUUGAGGCUCCUGAGAAUGGAGUGAGGGAGGGGAGCCAGGUGACAGGCAGCAGGCUCCUGGUGCCCCUCCUGGCCUGCCUUGAGCUGGCUUGGACCUACAUAGCCAUAUAAGGGAAGGAACAUUAGCUGAAGCAGGGCUAGGGGGGUUGGGGGGAAGGUCUUGUUCUGGACAGGGAUGGAGAAAACCCAGACAUCCACUGUUUAUUUUCUCCUUCUUUUGCACUUCCUCUUGACUUUUGGGGCUCAAGUCAGAAACCCAGUAUCUUCCCAGGAGAGACUGCUCCUCCUUUCCGAAAGGAUGAAGAUAAAUGAAAAGUGUGUAUACGUGAGUAUUGGGGGCGCUAAGGAAGGAUGGAGAGGAAUUUGGAGGGGAAUGCUGCUCCUCUUUCCAUUUCUCCCAGGAAUCCCAGGAGAACCCAGACACAAGUUGAUACACAGGCAUGGUUGAGGGGUUGCAACUGGUGGGCAGAACUAUCAAGUAAGAUCUGGCUGGUUGGAAGCUUCUAGUAUGAAUGAAGGGGUCUGUGACUAGAUCAGGGAGCUGGUAGGAAGCGGGGAGCAUGAGACUCUCUCUGAUGAUAGAAACAGUAGAAUAGAAACUCCCUGAGAACAGAACUUGCUUCAUUUUUGUCUUUAGACUUCAAUAUGUAACACAGUACCUGGCACCUAGUAGGUCCUUACUAAAUAUUUGUUGAUUGGCAACAAUGGUUUGCCAAGCACUUUUCUCCUAGGUGUAAGGUGACAUGGUGUGGAAUGGAAAGACCAAGAGAGAGAAACUUUGGGUUAGAAUUCUAUCAUUAACCUUUACUAAUUGUGUGCCCAUCUACAACUGAUUUGGUUUCUCUGUUUCCUUACCUGUAAAAUAGGGUCAUUGUGAGGCAAGUGCUUUGUAAAUCAUAAAGUGCUAUAGAAACCAGAAUUGUCUCCAUUUUAUAGAGGGUGAAACUGAGGUUCAGAGAGGUGAAGUGAACCCAGAGUUCAACUCCAGAUCCAGCAUUCUUUAACUACCCUGCAGUGUCUCUCCAUCAAUUUUGUUUUUUAGAAGAAAAUGGGAUGAAGUGGAUGACCAGGUCCAUAGGACUCAGAGCUUGAGGGUUUUUGAUCUAGGCUACAGUGUACAAAAUGGAGACAACCACUUUCAGGUCCCCUAAAGUAAAGAGAAAGUGGAGCAUCAAACCCCAAACCUCAGAGUCUGGGAAGAUCUAAAACAUAGAACUGAUCUCUCCUCAGUCAAUCCCCCUGACUCCCCAAGGCCAGGCAUUUUAAGUGUUUCCUCUCACUUUGACCAAGGGAAAACUAUCUUAAUGUGAAUAUCCCUAAAUUCCCAAGGUCUUGGAAGACUCUUCUUUGGUCCUUAGUUUCCUCAUUUGUUAAAAAAGGAGAUUAGACUAGUUGAUCUCUAUUGGCUUUCUAACUCCAAUGCUCUAUGAUAUCUUCCUUUGAGAUUAAAUUGAAGAAUUAUAUUAUGUACAAUAGUAGAAAACUGUACUAUCAUCAAGUAUUGCCCAGUUCUUACUAACAUAGACAGAAAGGCAUAGUGGGAUUAGAAAGGUUCUCAUAAGUCAUGCCUAAUGCAAGUUUUUUCCAUGUCAUUUGUAUGCGUCUGUUUUCUUCCUUUAUUUCCUCUUUUUGGUGCCUACAAGAGCCAGUUGGAAUGGACAGACACCUCUGGCCCAUCUGGAUCUGCUAUUCCUCCUCUGUCUCCCAGCCCGAGGUGCAGUGCUGCAUCUCUGGUCAGUUGUGAGUCUGAGAUGAAGCACUGUAGCUCGGGAAGGGAGGAACUGUCCAACUCAAGAGAAACAAGUCACCUCUGCUGGAAGACUGACUCUACUUAAGGCCAACCAGCCAAGCUGGGUAAGUAGGGGCUGGGAAAAGAGGGAGAGCAAGUAGAUCACUGAUCUAGGUGUACACUUCAUCUUAGUUUAGCAGUGUGAAAAAGUUCUCUUGUUCCUUAUGCCUAUUAUCUUUCUGAGUGAAGUUGACUCAGAACGGGGUCCCAUCUCAGCAGGUCAGAAAAUAAUUUAGGAUCUGAGAAGACAUCUGUGUCAAAUACUCCUUGAGCUUCUUCUGGACUUUAGUGAUCAGGGUAGAUACAAGAGCUAAUUCUUCUUUUCCAUUUAUUCCAUUGUUCAUGGGCUCACUCUUUCAACAAGCAUUGCCAGAGGCCUAUAAGUGUGAAGUCCUGAGUUUGGAGCAAAGUGGGAAACAGAUGAAUGAGACAUAGUCCUUGUUCUCUGGGAGCUCACAUUUUAGUAGUAGGAUUGGUGAGAAAAAUAACUAUAGUACAAAUUAGUAUGUGCAUACUGUGUGGAGAGGCAGUAGAUAAGGAUUGAGAGCCACAGAAUCAGUAAUUUGGGGUUCAAAUCCAGCCUCUGACAUACUUUUGUUGUUCCAUUGUUUCAGUCACAUCAAACUCUUUGUGACCCCAUUUGGGGUUUUCUUGACACAGAUACUGGAAUGGCUUGCCAUUUCCUUUUCCAGUUCAUUCUACAGAUGAGGAAACAUCUGUAGGUAGAGGUAAUUAGGAUUAAGCAACUUGCCCAGGGUCACAUGGCUAGUAAGUGUCGAAGGCUGAAUUUGAAUUCAGGAACAUGAGUUUUUGCUGACUCCAGGCAAAUGUAUUACUCUAUCCUCUGCACUGCCAAACUUCUCUGUAUUAGUAUGCUGACAUACUAGCUAUAUGCUUAGACAAGCAUCUUGAGCUCUCAGUACUCUAGGUAGCUCCCUAUGACUCUGAGUUACAGAAAGGGUGCAGACUUCAAUAUUCCCUGUAGGGGGAAGCUUUCUUAUCCAAUAAUUCCCCUUAUCAAUGAAAUCAUAAGUCCAGUCCCCAUCCUCCCUAGGUCAAUUCAAGUAGCAUCACGUGAAAAAGAGGCAAAGACCACUUCUUCUGGGGUCUUCAUAGAGCAAGUAUUUGAAUUGGUCCUCGAAAGAAGCUGGGCAUUCUACGGAUUAAAAUGAAUAGAGAGGAUAUUGCAUGCUGAACAAAGUAACUAAGCAAGUACACUGACGUGGGACGGGUCAGGGCCUGCUCAGGGAGUGGUGAGUAGUUAGUCCAAAUCUGUGAAGUGUGGAGGAGCACAGAUUUGAAAAGAAAGGGAAGCCAGAUGUCAGAAGUUCUUGAAUUCCAAAAUAAGGAGCUUGGACUUUAUUUAUUCAUUUAAUAAAUACUUAGGCAAUGGGUAGUCAUGGAAAAUUUCUUAGCAAGGGAGUGGCUUAGUGAUCUGUGUUUUAGGAUGGAAACUUGAAUAGUGUGAUUAGGAUGGAUUGAAGGAAGAGGCACUGGAGGGAAGGAGAUCAGUCUGGAAGCCAUUACAUUAAUCAAGGUGAGAGGUAAUGAAGUUUUGACCUUGGGUGAUAGCCAUGGGCCUGGAGAAAAACAUAAGAAACAUUAUGGAAGAGAAUAGAUAGAACUUAGAGACUUAAGAAUGAGCAAUUUUUGUCUUUUCCUCCUCAAAAAGGAUUUGAAGAUCUCAAGAGGGAUGGAGGGAGAGAUGAGGAAGUUUAGGUUACAAUUAAAAGACACAGGAAAAUCAAGUGGAGGAACAAGUUUGGUGAAGGUGAGUUUGGCCUAGAUGGGUUGAGUUUGAGGUACAGGUAUAAUGUUCAGGUAUAGAUUUCUAGCAUCUUUGGCCAGGUCAAAACCUUAAGCCAGAGCAAGAGACAUCCUUCGUGAGUCAUGUCCCUCCAGGUAGGGAGAGAGACCUUCAUGGCCAAUGCUGAAGCUUCUAGAGCCGCACCUGGAAAAUUCCUCAUGAAAUUGGCCACUUGUGUAUCCCUCUACAGCUCCUCUCCCCCUGCCUCCCAGAAAGCCAUCAUUUAUAGCAAAGGAUAAAAAAGAGAGGGAAAAAUAGUUUAAUAACAUAACCAGCCACCUGGUUAGUAAUUUAGUAAGUCUAACAUUAUAUGAUUCUAUAUGUUCUAUAUGUAUAGCUCUCCAUUUCUUCAAAGAGGGGAAGAAGGUGCCUUCUCAUAUUUUUUCUUUUCAAAAAAGAUUUUAAUCAUUAUAAUUUAACAACAUUCAAUUUUUUUGUUUUGUUCUUUCCACUUUUGUUGUAAAUUGUACAUUGUUGUAUAUAUUGUCUUCCUAGUUCUGCUUUCUUCAUAUUGCAUCAGCUCUUGCCUUCCUUUCCUCCUCUGUUUUCAUUAUUUUGUAUAGCCAGUCAUAUCCCAUUACAUGCAUGUGUUACAGUUUAUUUCAUCUAUCAGUGGACAUCUACUUUAGAGCCAUUCCUUUCAACAUAUACCAGUACUUUUUCUAUUUCUUGACCACUUUAAAUAUCCCCAUGAAAUUGUACUAAAUUGUCCACAUUGGUAAGAAACAGAGAAAGAAUCUUCCCCCAUUCCUCUUCCCCCUAAGUAAUAGCAGCACCCAUCUCUCUCCCUGUCCCAGCUUUACAGUAUCCUGUUUUCCUGAGACUGAUGACUGCUCCAGGAUGCUCUGUGGUGUAUGAUUACUUUAGAAUUCAGGUAGCCUCUUGUUGGUACCCAACUAUUGCCAAACUCUCAAGUGAUAGAAGACAACACCAGUACAACCUACAGGGAAAGAAUGGAUCAAUGUUUUUGUCUACCCUCUGGUCUGAAGGUCACACUCUCCCAACCUUGUCCUCAGGGUCCAGUUUUCCCAGGAAUCCCUUAGAUGCUAAGAUGGGGAUUCCUGGAAAUACUGUUCUUGAGGUCAUGGAUUUACAACUGGACUAUAUCUCCUUCAACAUCCCCUGCAGGAAGAAGUUUUAAAAACCAGUAUCUGAGUUGCCACAUAGGUAUCUUUUCAGAGAUGAUAUAAGAUGAAAUAAAUGGAGCAAGAGAUUGGAGGUAAGGAGAUUUAGUAACCUCAUCUUUGUCCUUGGAAAUGAAACAGCCCCAAAUAUUUUAGCAAAGCAUAGUACAAUGGACACUGGAUUUGAACUCAGAAGAUCUGGUUUUGAAUCUCAGCUCUCACACUUAGUAUUUGUGUAACUUGGUGAACCAUCUAACUUCUCUGAGAUUCAAUUUUCUCAUCUAUAAAAAUAGGUAAUUGGACUAUUUAACCAGAUGACCUCUAAGGUUCCUUCCAGCUCUAAAUGUUGUGCUUCUAUGCUUCUAUGUCCAUAGGCACAGAGCUUUAUGCUUUUCAAAGCACUUUCCUUACCCUGAAUGGUUAGUAGUGCAAAUAAUAUCAGCCCAUUUUACAGAUGAAGAAACAGACUCAAAGAGGGGAAGGAACAUCCAGGAUCAUGCUAUCAUUCAUUAUCAUGUUAUCUUUCAGUGGAGGACAACCAAAAUGGUGAAGGGACUAGAGACCAUGUCAUAUGAGGAUUGCUUGAAGCAACUAGGGAUAGUUAAAUCGUAGAAAAUAAAAUUUAGGAUAUGCGCUAAUUGUUUUCAUGUAUUUGGAGAGGAGUUAUGGGGAAGAAGGAUUAAGUCUGGUCAGUUUGACCCCAACAUUAGGAGGAAGUUGAAGAAAAAUAGGUUUUGACUUAAUAGAGGGAAAAAUGACUUAAUAGUCAGAUUAUUCUGGAAGUAGAAUGGGCCCCUCAGGGGAUAAUGAACUUCCCAUUAUCAGAGAUUUUAAAGUGAAGGCUCAUCACUUAUUACAGACAUUAUAGAAGGAGAUCCUACUAAGGUCUAGUUUGGACCUGAUGACUUUAUGAAGUCAUUUCCACUUCUGAGCCUUGAUUGCAUUACAUCUCUGUGAGACAGGAUAGGACUUUUGUCCUUGUCUUAAUUUCAGGUAACUGAUCCGAAAGUAUGCAGUUAGGCAUCAUUAAAACCAGGGCUAAGACCCUCACCUUCCUUUCAUGUUUUGAGGUCCCAUUUUUUACUAUCCACAGUGGUUUUUAAAAUAAGAUAACAAUGUUAAUUACAAUUUUAUAAGUUCAUCCACAGAAGUAACUUACCUAAUGUCACCUAAUUGGUAAGUAAUAGAAUCAAGGUUCAAAUUCCAUUCCUUUCAUUCCAAUUCCAGUAUCUUUUCCACAUUGCCUUUCUUAGCAUUGUGGGAACAUCAUUUCUUCCAUAGAGCACAUGCUACAAACGCUGUCAUGACCUUCUCCAAGGAGUGAGGAAUUAUGAGGAUGAUGAGAAAGUCUACUUCACACACCAUCCUCCAGAGGGAGGGUGGGAAAGUCUGAUUUAGGCACUGUCCCCGGGGGAGAAUGUGGAAAAGCUUCUUCAGGAACUAUUCUCCAGAGGGAGGGUGGGAAGGGCACAUCUUUCCCUUGAACUAAUUUCUUAUAGUUCCUCCAUAUAAGAGUUGUGUGCCAUGAUGAGAAUAAAGUAUUGAACUCUU